GUAUAUAUCUGUUACUUACAUGAUUUAAAAUCAUGUUUUUAAAUUAAUAAAGAACUUUCAGCCUGAACUAUAAAGCAUCGCCUAAGAGCAAUAUACAGCACUCAUUUAAUUUAAACUGGAUAGUAUGAAUACUUUAAAGUUAAUAGCCAUUGUUGCGAUAAUUGCAACGUUGAUGACAAUCAUAGUUACCGGGAAACCUCUACUCCCUACGAUACUAUCAUUACUAGGAGGUAAAAAAUAAAAAGUAGGAAGUAAAUUGGUAAAAAGUAAAGUAUGAUCAAAUAAAGCUGGAUAUUGGAACACGAUUGAUAAUGAAAUUGUAAAAU